ensembl:lncRNA
CCAUAACUGUGACAGCAGGUUUUCUUUUUAUUGUUCCACUAAAUUGACUGCAUAUCUACCUGUCUGAGAACAACCAGGAUACUGACAGAGAUGGCCACUAUGAAGCAUUGUUGUGUAUUUCCUCAAACCUGGAGAGAGGAAACAGUGGUUUUGAGGCUGUGAAUGCCACUGCUCUGUGAUGCUGUGAUAGUGAGUAACUCACUAACCGGUGAGAAGAAACAUGGCAGAGUCUCCAAAGCACAGAGGGGAAAAAAGAGCCCCUGACCUCUGCCUCCCCUCCAUACACAUUGUCAAAUUUUGAUUAAUCGCCGCUUGCCAUCAUUUAUAGAAGAGUCGGUUUACAUUAAGAUUCAAGUUCCCCCCAGCGCUGAGAGGGUCUCACCUUGGUUCAGGUAGCUGGCUGCGUAGCGGCCUGGGGGAAAGGCUUUCGGCCAGCUGGAGGAAAUCUACUGUCCUAGAUCCUGGGAUAGUGCCACCACACCUGCUGCGAUUCACCUCCUGUCCUUGGGUUUGUGAACCCACUGGCCAUGUCGACUUCAGCCACAAUAAAAAAGCUGGUUACUGUAAUUCAUGGUAAAUUGUUCAGCACUUUAUGAUGAGCAUCACCAAAUGUAAAAGUUCACAGUUCACUAACAGUGCAUAAUUCACAAAGGGGCAGCAGACCCUCACAAAGGUCUUAUGAGUUAAUUAAAGUCUGUGUGGCAAAUGGAUGAUGAGUUACCACAGCUUACAACAUAUUCCAGAAUCAUGGAAGCCGGCGGCUGAUAAACUGUUUUUUGGAGUGACUAUCAACAUUUUUUUGACAGAAAAUGAACCGUUUUGAUCAAUGAGGAG